GAUGAACGCUGGCGGCGUGCUUAACACAUGCAAGUCGAACGGUGAAGGCGGAGCUUGCUCUGCUGGAUCAGUGGCGAACGGGUGAGUAACGCGUGAGCAAUCUGCCCCUGACUCUGGGAUAAGCGCUGGAAACGGCGUCUAAUACUGGAUACGAGCUGCGAAGGCAUCUUCAGCAGCUGGGAAGAAUUUCGGUCAGGGAUGAGCUCGCGGCCUAUCAGCUUGUUGGUGAGGUACUGGCUCACCAAGGCGUCGACGGGUAGCCGGCCUGAGAGGGUGAGCGGCCACACUGGGACUGAGACACGGACCAGACUCCAACGGGAGGCAGCAGGGGGGAAUAUUGCACAAUGGGCGAAAGCCUGAUGCAGGAACGCCGCGUGAGGGACGACGGCCAUCGGGUUGUAAACCUCUUUUAGCAGGGAAGAAGCGAAAGUGACGGUACCUGCAGAAAAAGCGCCGGCUAACUACGUG
rnacentral:rRNA from 1 species